UGGCAAGUCGAACGGUGAAGCCCUAGCUUGCUGGGGUGGAUCAGUGGCGAACGGGAGAGAGGCACGUGAGCAACCUGCCCCCUACUUCGGGAUAAGCCUUGGAAACGGGGUCUAAUACCGGAUAUGAGCACUCAUCGCAUGGUGGGUGUUGGAAAGUUUUUCGGUGGGGGAUGGGCUCGCGGCCUAUCAGCUUGUUGGUGGGGUAAUGGCCUACCAAGGCGUCGACGGGUAGCCGGCCUGAGAGGGCGACCGGCCACACUGGGACUGAGACACGGCCCAGACUCCUACGGGAGGCAGCAGUGGGGAAUAUUGCACAAUGGGCGAAAGCCUGAUGCAGCGACGCCGCGUGAGGGAUGACGGCCUUCGGGUUGUAAACCUCUUUCAGCAGGGAAGAAGCGCAAGUGACGGUACCUGCAGAAGAAGCGCCGGCUAACUACGUGCCAGCAGCCGCGGUAAUACGUAGGGCGCAAGCGUUGUCCGGAAUUAUUGGGCGUAAAGAGCUCGUAGGCGGUCUGUCGCGUCUGGUGUGAAAUCCCAUGGCUCAACUGUGGGCUUGCAUCGGGUACGGGCAGACUAGAGUGCUGUAGGGGAGACUGGAAUUCCUGGUGUAGCGGUGGAAUGCGCAGAUAUCAGGAGGAACACCGAUGGCGAAGGCAGGUCUCUGGGCAGUUACUGACGCUGAGGAGCGAAAGCAUGGGGAGCGAACAGGAUUAGAUACCCUGGUAGUCCAUGCCGUAAACGUUGGGCACUAGGUGUGGGGCCAGUUCCACUGGUUCUGUGCCGUAGCUAACGCA
rnacentral:rRNA from 1 species